ensembl:misc_RNA 7SK 7SK RNA
GGAUGUGAGGGCGAUCUGGCUGCGACAUCUGUCACCCCAUUGAUCGCCAGGGUUGAUUCGGCUGAUCUGGCUGGCUAGGCGGGUGUCGCCUUCCUCCCUCACCGCUCCAUGUGCGUCCCUCCCGAAGCUGCGCGCUCGGUCGAAGAGGACGACCUUCCCCGAUAGAGGAGGACCGUUCUUCGGUCAAGGGUAUACGAGUAGCUGCGCUCCCCUGCUAGAACCUCCAAACAAGCUCUCAAGGUCCAUUUGUAGGAGAACGUAGGGUAGUCAAGCUUCCAAGACUCCAGAAAAAAAAAAAUAAAUAAAAAAUAAAUAAAUAAAUAAAUAAAUAAAUAAAAAAUAACUUGAUCUUGAGUAAUUU